CGGUUCAAUAAGUCUGAUGUGAAAGCUUUCGGCUCAACCGGAGAAUUGCAUCAGAAACUGUUGAACUUGAGUGCAGAAGAGGAGAGUGGAACUCCAUGUGUAGCGGUGGAAUGCGUAGAUAUAUGGAAGAACACCAGUGGCGAAGGCGGCUCUCUGGUCUGCAACUGACGCUGAGGCUCGAAAGCAUGGGUAGCGAACAGGAUUAGAUACCCUGGUAGUCCAUGCCGUAAACGAUGAGUGCUAAGUGUUGGGAGGUUUCCGCCUCUCAGUGCUGCAGCUAACGCAUUAAGCACUCCGCCUGGGGAGUACGACCGCAAGGUUGAAACUCAAAGGAAUUGACGGGGGCCCGCACAAGCGGUGGAGCAUGUGGUUUAAUUCGAAGCAACGCGAAGAACCUUACCAGGUCUUGACAUCCAGUGCAAACCUAAGAGAUUAGGAGUUCCCUUCGGGGACGCUGAGACAGGUGGUGCAUGGCUGUCGUCAGCUCGUGUCGUGAGAUGUUGGGUUAAGUCCCGCAACGAGCGCAACCCUUGUCAUUAGUUGCCAUCAUUAAGUUGGGCACUCUAAUGAGACUGCCGGUGACAAACCGGAGGAAGGUGGGGAUGACGUCAAGUCAUCAUGCCCCUUAUGACCUGGGCUACACACGUGCUACAAUGGACGGUACAACGAGAAGCGAACCUGCGAAGGCAAGCGGAUCUCUGAAAGCCGUUCUCAGCUCGGACUGUAGGCUGCAACUCGCCUGCACGAAGCUGGAAUCGCUAGUAAUCGCGGAUCAGCACGCCGCGGUGAAUACGUUCCCGGGCCUUGUACACACCGCCCGUCACACCAUGAGAGUCUGUAACACCCAAAGCCGGUGGGAUAACCUUUAUAGGAGUCAGCCGUCUAAGGUAGGACAGAUGAUUAGGGUGAAGUCGUAACAAGGUAUCC
rnacentral:rRNA from 1 species